UGGGCGCAGCCUGAUGCAGCGACGCCGCGUGAGGGAUGACGGCCUUCGGGUUGUAAACCUCUUUCAGCACAGACGAAGCGCAAGUGACGGUAUGUGCAGAAGAAGGACCGGCCAACUACGUGCCAGCAGCCGCGGUAAUACGUAGGGUCCGAGCGUUGUCCGGAAUUACUGGGCGUAAAGAGCUCGUAGGUGGUUUGUCGCGUUGUUCGUGAAAACUCACAGCUUAACUGUGGGCGUGCGGGCGAUACGGGCAGACUUGAGUACUGCAGGGGAGACUGGAAUUCCUGGUGUAGCGGUGGAAUGCGCAGAUAUCAGGAGGAACACCGGUGGCGAAGGCGGGUCUCUGGGCAGUAACUGACGCUGAGGAGCGAAAGCGUGGGGAGCGAACAGGAUUAGAUACCCUG
rnacentral:rRNA from 1 species